GGUUGCCUACGGGGCGCAGCAGUGGGGAAUAUUGCACAAUGGGGGGAACCCUGAUGCAGCGACGCCGCGUGGGUGAAGGAGCGUUUCGGCGCGUAAAGCCCUAUCGGCAGGGAAGAAGAUGACGGUACCUGACCAAGAAGCCCCGGCUAACUACGUGCCAGCAGCCGCGGUAAUACGUAGGGGGCAAGCGUUAUCCGGAUUUACUGGGUGUAAAGGGGGCGCAGACGGCAAUGCAAGCCAGGAGUGAAAGCCCGGGGCCCCAC
rnacentral:rRNA from 1 species